UAGAAUUCCACGUGUAGCGGUGAAAUGCGUAGAGAUGUGGAGGAAUACCGGUGGCGAAGGCGGCCUUCUGGACAGAUACUGACGCUGAGAUGCGAAAACGUGGGGAGCAAACAGGAUUAGAUACCCUGGUAGUCCACGCUGUAAACGAUGUCGAUUUGGAGUUUGUUGCCUAGAGUGAUGGGCUCCGAAGCUAACGCGAUAAAUCGACCGCCUGGGGAGUACGGCCGCAAGGUUAAAACUCAAAUGAAUUGACGGGGGCCCGCACAAGCGGUGGAGCGUGUGGUUUAAUUCGAUGCAACGCGAAGAACCUUACCUGGUCUUGACAUCCACAGAAUCUUGCAGAGAUGCGAGAGUGCCUUCGGGAACUGUGAGACAGGUGCUGCAUGGCUGUCGUCAGCUCGUGUUGUGAAAUGUUGGGUUAAGUCCCGCAACGAGCGCAACCCUUAUCCUUUGUUGCCAGCGAUUCGGUCGGGAACUCAAAGGAGACUGCCGUUGAUAAAGCGGAGGAAGGUGGGGACGACGUCAAGUCAUCAUGGCCCUUACGACCAGGGCUACACACGUGCUACAAUGGCGUAUACAAGGGGAGGCGACCUCGCGAGAGCAAGCGGACCUCAUAAAGUACGUCUAAGUCCGGAUUGGAGUCUGCAACUCGACUCCAUGAAGUCGGAACCGCUAGUAAUCGUGAAUCAGAAUGU
rnacentral:rRNA from 1 species